rnacentral:tRNA from 1 species
GAGAGGGUUGGCAUAGACGGUCUGCCGGCUGGGACGCCAGCUGCACGCGGGUUCAACUCCCGCCCCUUUCAC